CCAUCAUUAAGUUGGGCACUCUGUGGAGACUGCCGGUGUUAAACCGGAGGAAGGUGGGGAUGACGUCAAGUCCUCAUGGCCCUUAUGACCAGGGCUACACACGUGCUACAAUGGCCGGUACAAAGAGUUGCGAUACCGCGAGGUGGAGCCAAUCUCAUAAAGCCGGUCUCAGUUCGGAUUAGAGUCUGCAACUCGACUCUAUGAAGUUGGAAUCGCUAGUAAUCGCGGAUCAGCAUGCCGCGGUGAAUACGUUCCCGGGCCUUGUACACACCGCCCGUCACACCACGGGAGUCGAUUGGUCCCGAAGUGCGUGAGCUAACCCCUUGUGGGAGGCAGCGUCCUAAGGAAUGGUCGGUGACUGGGGUGAAGUCGUAACAAG
rnacentral:rRNA from 1 species